rnacentral:rRNA from 1 species
UAGGGAAUAUUGGACAAUGGGCGCAAGCCUGAUCCAGCCAUGCCGCGUGAGUGAAGAAGGCCCUCGGGUUGUAAAGCUCUUUUGUCCGGAAAGAAAAGCGCCGGGUUAAUACCCUGGUGUCCUGACGGUACCGGAAGAAUAAGCACCGGCUAACUUCGUGCCAGCAGCCGCGGUAAUACGAAGGGUGCAAGCGUUACUCGGAAUUACUGAGCGUAAAGCGUGCGUAGGUGGUUCGUUAAGUCCGAUGUGAAAGCCCUGGGCUCAACCUGGGAAUGGCAUUGGAUACUGGCGGGCUAGAGUGCGGUAGAGGGUAGUGGAAUUCCCGGUGUAGCAGUGAAAUGCGUAGAGAUCGGGAGGAACAUCCGUGGCGAAGGCGACUACCUGGACCAGCACUGACACUGAGGCACGAAAGCGUGGGGAGCAAACAGGAUUAGAUACCCUGGUAGUCCACGCCCUAAACGAUGCGAACUGGAUGUUGGGCUCAACUUGGAGCUCAGUAUCGAAGCUAACGCGUUAAGUUCGCCGCCUGGGGAGUACGGUCGCAAGACUGAAACUCAAAGGAAUUG